rnacentral:lncRNA from 1 species
UUAGUUAUAUAAACUCUUGAGGAAAUAUUUGGGAACUUAUAGUAGAGAGUAUGGACAAAGAUGAUAGUAUAGAUUUUUAUGAAGUUCAUAAUAUGUUUUUUUUUUUGUUUCAGUUCCAAAAUGUAGCUGCAUUAUUUUCAGAGGAGUUGGAUGAAUGUUCUGACAAGGAGUGCAAGGAUGGGUCCCUGAUAUGANNNNNNNNNNNNNNUUUUUUUUUUUUUUUUUUUUUUGUAUAUAUGCAUGAUCUUGUGGUUGGAUUCUUGUUUACUUGUGAGAUGAUUUGUACUUUGGACAUAUAUGAUUUGUAUAAAUUUGAUUUCAUGGCUGCUUCAAUUGUGGACCAUGAAGUAGACCAUGAACAUAACUGGAGUUUAAUUUCAUUUUUGGUCAUAGAUAUUAACAUUGUACUAAUUUUAGUUCUUAGGUUCCAAAUUGCGCAAUUUAUGUCCUCUAGGUAUCUCAAUUGUUACUACAGUAUUAAGUUAC